rnacentral:tRNA from 1 species
GGUGUCGUGGUCGAGUGGUUUUCAGGCGCAGCUCUGCAAAAGCUGAGACGGCAGUUCGAGUCUGCCCGACACCU